rnacentral:rRNA from 1 species
AUUGAACGCUGGCGGCAGGCCUAACACAUGCAAGUCGAGCGGGGUUUUCGGACCUAGCGGCGGACGGGUGAGUAAUGUGUAGGAAGCUACCCGAUAGAGGGGGAUACCAGUUGGAAACGACUGUUAAUACCGCAUAAUGUCUACGGACCAAAGUGUGGGACCUUCGGGCCACAUGCUAUCGGAUGCGCCUACGUGGGAUUAGCUAGUUGGUGAGGUAAUGGCUCACCAAGGCGACGAUCCCUAGCUGGCUUGAGAGGAUGAUCAGCCACACUGGAACUGAGACACGGUCCAGACUCCUACGGGAGGCAGCAGUGGGGAAUAUUGGACAAUGGGCGCAAGCCUGAUCCAGCCAUGCCGCGUGUGUGAAGAAGGCCUUCGGGUUGUAAAGCACUUUCAGCGAGGAGGAAGGGGUGAGUGUUAAUAGUACUCAUCUUUGACGUUACUCGCAGAAGAAGCACCGGCUAACUCUGUGCCAGCCGCCGCCGUAAGAC